CCUACGGGUGGCUGCAGUGGGGAAUAUUGCACAAUGGGCGCAAGCCUGAUGCGGCCAUGCCGCGUGUGUGAAGAAGGCCUUCGGGUUGUAAAGCACUUUCAGGGGGGAGAAAGGCGGUGAGGUUAAUAACCUCAUCGAUUGACGUUACCCGCAGAAGAAGCACCGGCUAACUCCGUGCCAGCAGCCGCGGUAAUACGGAGGGUGCAAGCGUUAAUCGGAAUUACUGGGCGUAAAGCGCACGCAGGCGGUCUGUCAAGUCGGAUGUGAAAUCCCCGGGCUCAACCUGGGAACUGCAUUCGAAACUGGCAGGCUAGAGUCUUGUAGAGGGGGGUAGAAUUCCAGGUGUAGCGGUGAAAUGCGUAGAGAUCUGGAGGAAUACCGGUGGCGAAGGCGGCCCCCUGGACAAAGACUGACGCUCAGGUGCGAAAGCGUGGGGAGCAAACAGGAUUAGAUACCCUUGUAGUC
rnacentral:rRNA from 1 species